rnacentral:rRNA from 1 species
UACGAACUGUGCGAACGUUAUUCGGAAUCACUGGGCUUACAGGGUGCGUAGGCGGCUUGUUAAGUAGGGUGUGAAAGCCCCCGGCUCAACCGGGGAAUGGCGCCCUAAACUGGCGAGCUAGAGUGAGAUAGGGGUGUGUGGAACUUCCGGUGGAGCGGUGAAAUGUGUUGAUAUCGGAAGGAACGCCGGUGGCGAAAGCGACACACUGGAUCUUGUCUGACGCUGAGGAGCGAAAGCCAGGGGAGCAAACGGG